UACAGAGGGGGCAAGCGUUAUUCGGAAUUAUUGGGCGUAAAGGGCGCGUAGGCGGCUUGGCAAGUGGAUGGUGAAAUCCCUCGGCUCAACCGAGGAACUGCCGUCCAAACUGCUUGGCUUGAGACCGGGAGAGGUGAGUGGAAUUCCUGGUGUAGCGGUGGAAUGCGCAGAUAUCAGGAGGAACACCAAUAGCGAAGGCAGCUCGCUGGGAUGUUACUGACACUGAGGCGCGAAAGCGUGGGGAGCGAACAGG
rnacentral:rRNA from 1 species